ncrna:unclassified sequences AdoCbl variant RNA
UAACUGAAAUGCAUGGUGGGAAAUCAGUGUGAAAUUCAUUGGCUCUUCCUGGAACCGUAAAGUCGGAGCGCCACCCAGUUA